ensembl:lncRNA
GUCUCAGUGAGGGUUGCGUCGUAAUUUGGAGAAUAAAAGCCAUUCUUUGCUGUUCUUUUUAGAAAAUACUUCAUCAAAAAAUCAUCGAUAACAUCAGAAAAAGCUGAGAUGAUGAGAUCUGAGGAGUAUGACAUAAACUAAAUCCUAUUUUGUUCUGUGCAUUUGUAAGAUGAUGCAGGGUAACAAUUUCUACUGGGAAUUGAGGGGUGUGUGCUUUUUUCUGCUCUUUAUUUUUACCACAGGGUCGAUUUUCCUUAGAUGAUAGAUGAGAAGAGUUGAUAACAAUAGCGGACUGAGUUGCCUUCGGUUAUUGCUGCGCACUGAAAGCAAUAAUGUUGGCAAACAGCAGCCAGAGGAGCAAAAACAUUAUAUAGACUUUGCUUCCCUGGGUUUAGCCUCACAGGCUCCAUACAGCCUGCUCUUGGUGUGUGUGUGUUUUUUUAAUGGUGAAUAUGGUGCAUAGACUGUGCAUUAACAUGGAUGUAAUCAUGUAUGAGAACUAGCAAUGAUUUCUUUUGUUUCCUGCCUGGGCAGCCAAUCAUACAGCUGCAUUUAAAAUUACCUCCAACUUGAUUUUUUUUUUUUUUUUUGAAAAUGUGCUUCUCUUCUGUAGUGCUGGCUAGAUCCUGAGUAUCAUGACAGCAACUUUAUUUACAUCUGCAGAAUAAAUGCAUCACAGUGAUGAGAAGGGAAAAGGAACAGUUGAAGGUGUAGGCAGGUUAAGGAAUUAUUUUUCUUUAUUUUUUGUCAUUAUUUUCUUAAUACUAAGCAGGUAGAACCAACACGAGGCUACGGUACACAAAUAAAUGAACAAAUUUUGACAGUAACAUGCAUAUCAGAUUUAACUGCUCAUUAACUGAAGGUGCUGGAAUGCUGUUCUAGAUUUUUCUAGCCCACUUUAACCACUGGAUGCAUAGACUGCAUAGAUUUACCAUCUACCCUAAAGACGACAAUUAAAAAUAAGACAUUAGGGACACGAAGCUCAGUUUCCUGGCUCAAAAUCUUGUAUUUGAACCGAGCUUUCCUACAUCCAGAGUCUGCGAAUGUUGGCCUCUCUGGAUUUACAGUCCACCUGUUUUCUGGCUUAAACACUUUUUAAAAACUCAUGCUAUUUUAGAAGUGAUCUCAAUUGUGUCAUUUGAAUAAAAUGGUGUAGUCAGCAACACCGUGGGUAUCAAGAAUGUGACUUCGAAGAAAC